rnacentral:rRNA from 1 species
UACGUAGGGAGCAAGCGUUGUCCGGAUUUAUUGGGCGUAAAGAGCUCGUAGGCGGCUUAGCAAGUCAGAUGUGAAAACUCCAGGCUCAACCUGGAGACGCCAUUUGAUACUGCUAUGGCUUGAGUUCGGUAGGGGUAAGCGGAAUCCUGGUGUAGCGGUGAAAUGCGCAGAUAUCAGGAGGAACACCGAUGGCGAAGGCAGCUUACUGGGCCGAUACUGACGUGAGGAGCGAAAGCGUGGGGAGCGAACAGG